rnacentral:sRNA from 1 species
AUGAUAUGAUUGGUGGAGAUAUCACCUCUAUCUAGUGCUGUCAAUCAAUUUACCCCUGCCAACCUAUCUACUGCUGCUAAUCUAUCGCCGCUGCCAAUCUAUCCCUCGCUGCUAAGCUAUCCCUCGCUGCUAAGCUAUCCCUCGCUGCUAAGCUAUCGCUCGCUGCUAAGCUAUCCCUCACUGCUAAACUAUCCAUCGCUGCUACGCUAUCCCUCACUGCUAAGCUAUCCCUCACUGCUAAGCUAUCCCUUGCUGCUAAGCUAUCCCUCGCUGCUAAGCUAUCCCUCGCUGCUAAGCUAUCCCUCACUGCUAAGCUAUCCCUCGCUGCUAAGCUAUCCCUCGCUGCUAAGCUAUCCCUCGCUGCCAACCUAUCUAUCGCUGCCAACUUAUCUACCACUGCCAAUCUAUCUACCACUGCCAAUCUAUCUAUCGCUGCUAAUCUAUUGCUGCUAAUCUAUCGCUGCUGCCAAUCUAUCUAUCACUGCCAAUCUAUCUAUCGCUGCUAAUCUAUUGCUGCUAAUCUAUCGCUGCUGCCAAUCUAUCUAUCACUGCUAAGCUAGCUAUCACUGCUAAUCUAUCGCUGCUAAUCUAUCGCUGCCAACCUAUCUAUCGCUGCCAAUUUAUCUACCACUGCCAAUCUAUCUAUCGCUGCUAAUCUAUCGCUGCUGCCAAUCUAUCUAUCGCUGCUAAUCUAUUGCUGCUAAUCUAUCGCUGCUGCCAAUCUAUCUAUCACUGCUAAGCUAGCUAUCACUGCUAAUCUAUCGCUGCUAAUCUAUCGCUGCCAACCUAUCUACCGCGGCGAAUCUAUCUAUUGCUGCCAAUCAACCUACCUACCACUGCCAACCUAUCUAUCGCUGCCAAUCUAUUGCUGCCAAUCUAUCGCUGCCAACCUAUCUACUGCAGUGAAUCUAUCUAUCACUAUCAUUACUAGUUCAAAAUAGAACUAGAGCAUAAAUACACUAAACUUCUUUUGAUAGAUAAUGAUUUUUGGUAACACUCAUAGCAUUAUAUCAUCUAUAUAGAGUAAAUCAUGGUCUCAUUUGAUCCUAUUUUACCAAAUGGGACCAAAUGGGAUCAGAAUCAGUAAUUUAUAAGAAGAACAUGACCUGAGACUAGAUUUAUAAUAUAAACAGUGUAAAGUGACUAAUUUAAAAAACACUAUAUGAGAUCAGGACUAAGAAAUGUGAUAAUGAGAC